GGUACCGGUAGCUCAGAAGACAGAGUAUCAGAUUUCUAAUCUGAAAGUUACGAGUUCAAGUCUCGUCCAUAUCU